rnacentral:rRNA from 1 species
GGACUUUUUGGUUUGUAUUGGAAUGAGUUAAGUAUAAACCCCUUUACAAGUAUCAAUUGGAGGGCAAGUCUGGUGCCAGCAGCCGCGGUAAUUCCAGCUCCAAUAGCGUAUAUUAAAGUUGUUGCAGUUAAAAAGCUCGUAGUUGGAUUUCUGUUAAUAAUUUAUAUAAAAUAUUUUGAUGAAUAUUUAUAUAAUAUUAACAUAAUUCAUAUUACUAUAUAUUUUAGUAUAUGAAAUUUUACUUUGAGAAAAUUAGAGUGCUUAAAGCAGGCAUAUGCCUUGAAUACUCCAGCAUGGAAUAAUAUUAAAGAUUUUUAUCUUUCUUAUUGGUUCUAAGAUAAGAAUAAUGAUUAAUAGGGACAGUUGGGGGCAUUUGUAUUUAACAGUCAGAGGUGAAAUUCUUAGAUUUGUUAAAGACAAACUAAUGCGAAAGCAUUUGCCAAGGAUGUUUUCAUUAAUCAAGAACGAAAGUUAGGGGAUCGAAGACGAUCAGAUACCGUCGUAGUCUUAACCAUAAACUAUGCCAACUAGAGAUUGGAGGUUGUUCUUUACUCCUUA